rnacentral:tRNA from 1 species
GGGUCGUUAGCUCAGUCGGUAGAGCAGCGGUCUUUUAAUCCGUUGGUCGAAGGUUAGAAUCCUUCACGACCCACCAUUU